rnacentral:snoRNA from 1 species
GUACAUAUUUGAUCACUGGUUCAGCAUGAUGUUGCAGAAACAAGGGAAACUCUAUCUGCAAAAGUGAGUUUGGCUACGGGCAGUGGCUCACCCCUGUAUUGCCAAUA